rnacentral:rRNA from 2 species
UACGUAGGGACCAAGCGUUGUUCGGAUUUACUGGGCGUAAAGGGCGCGUAGGCGGCAAUUCAAGUCAUCUGUGAAAUCUCCGGGCUUAACUCGGAACGGUCAGAUGAUACUGCUUUGCUCGAGUGCGGAAGGGGCAAUCGGAAUUCUUGGUGUAGCGGUGAAAUGCGUAGAUAUCAAGAGGAACACCUGAGGUGAAGACGGGUUGCUGGGCCGACACUGACGCUGACAGCGCGAAAGCCAGGGGAGCAAACGGG